AUUCAGAAAUUCGAAAUAUCCAGAAACAGUACCAAAUUUGAAAGCGCGGGAAUCUCACUCGGUGACUCGAACGACCUUCUUCGACCUCCAAGCCACAAUCCUCAAGCUCCAAACCCUAACAACAAUGUCGACCGCCAAAGCGAGCAACAAGAAGCGCAGGACCGACCCGGAGAUCGCCAAAUCGGACCACCUCGAUCUCGACCUCGACCUCUCCAAUGAUAUCAAGGGAAUCAUGUCGGCGAUUCAUCAGAUCCGAGAGAAGGCUCACAAGGACGGUCUGAAGAAGAACGAAGAGACGAUUUCGAGUGUGGCAGCUGAGGUCAGGUCUGCCAUUGAUGAGCUCAAGUCCAAACUCGAAAAGGAUAGGCAAAGUUUCGCUAAAUCCCUCUCUAAGAGCUCAAAAGAGUGUGAAAAUUGCUUGAAGACUGAAGCUGCAAAGUUCCAAGCACUUUAUGAAAAGUUCUGCAAGGACCAAGCAAGCCAUCUGCAGGCCUUGAAAGGAGUUAUUUCGAACUAUGAAGAAGAGAAGGAAAGGCUCUGCGCACGAUACGAACAAUUGAGGAAGCGAGAAAGGAGUAUGAUUUCUGAGCAUGAGAAAGCUUGCGCUGAUAAAAUUAACAAACUGGAAGAGUCAUUGAAAAAGAAGAAGCAGGACGACAGAACUUUCAGUGUUCUGAGAAAGUCUCUGGGUUCAAUUUUGGACAAUGGUUCCGACGAGGACAUCCCGGCUGAUGAUUGAAGAUUACUUCAGAGUUGAAAAGGGCAGUGCUACAAAUAUUCAGCUGUUAAAUCUCCAUUAACCCGAGCGGCAAUAUAACGCGUUGUACCGCCAAGCUUCAGAUGCUAGUUACAAUUUGUAGGCUGCCUCGCAUAAGCAGUUUAGUGAACAGGAUUUGGAGGAGUUGGUGAUUGCCCCUGUUGGACGGACCAUGGAGGGCGCUUGUUGUGUUCCUACAAAGAAACGUUUCACAUCCAUCACACAUACGAAACACCAGCAAUUGCAUUCUGAUCUACUUGCAAUAACUUACGAAUUACAGACUACUUAUUUUGAAAGUGCUUUUCUUAUUCUCCCUCGACAUAAUACUAUUGACUACUACCAACGAAAAAGCACCAUGAAGGUAAAACCUCCACUAUAUGCUCACUGAUAGAAAAUAACUUACCUCGUCAUAUCGUACCUAAUGUGAAGUCUACAAUUCCAUAACUUAUACUUCCUUAGAAUUUUAGGAAAAUCUCCUUUCGUGUGAUUAUCCCUGAAUAUUAUUCCGAAUGCUAGCCUCUUGCAAGUGAUACUCACAUAUGUAACGAUUUUUUUUUCAUGUAAAUUGUUUACUUACCCCAACUUCUGUCACAAAAUGGCACGAGGAACACCUAACGGAAGGCGCUCCAUACAGGUACAUCAGCAACACUGCACAGCUACCACAUUUAACUUGUCCAACCUGAUGAGCUGAUAAAAGAAGAAUCCGUUAGAUUUUGCCAAUCUGCCAUCACGACGGCAAACCACCAAACAUCUUACAUGUGCAGAAGAGAAAAUUACACUUUACUACACAGACAAAAGGCUCGAAGGCUCUGAUAACCGGGACUUAUCAAAUCUACAAGAGAAGCAAUAGAAUUAUAAAUUGCGGUUUUUCGCUUAGAAUCAAGUAUGGCACACUGCUUGUGGUUUGUGGAAAUCGCGGUUUAGGGUUCAAGGUUUCAUUGUAUGGCACUACUACGUAAAACUAUGACCGAGGCACUGCAGGGCUCAAUCAACUCAAAAGAUCCGAUCAACUUUGUUAGAGUACAUCGCGAAUCUUUCAUAU